rnacentral:rRNA from 1 species
AUGAUGUUGAGAAGUGAAACCCUGGUCUGCACGACACUCCUGAACACCAUGUCGCAGACGCCAUCACACUCAUCGAAGCACCGCUCCAGCGCGUGCAGCCUGUCCGCGGCCGCCUCCGCCGUCUCCGGCGCGGUGGCCUUCCUGAUGGUGAACGCAGGAAUAAACAUAGCUAUCGUCUUGCAAGUAGACGCACGGGACGACAUGGACGCGGCGGAGGAGAAGACGGCUGCAGAGGCCGCGGCGCUCACAGCGGCCGCCUCCACGAGCGCGCCGGCCUCCUCGGCACCCGCGAGAAGGUUCAGUCGCGAGCACUUGGCAGAGACGGCGGCUACAGAGGCGGUGAGGCGGGCAAGGUCCUUCUCGGCUCUGCGCUGCGACCUGGAGGCGGACGCGAGUCUGCCGGUGUCCCCUCUGCGGAGCGCGGCGCGGGACUCGGCAGUGGCGUGCCUGAGCGAGAGGAGGCACUCCUGGAAGCGUUGGUGCGCGUCGGCGAGGUGGAGGAAUGCGUCAAGCAGGCGGUCGCCGGCGUAG